rnacentral:rRNA from 1 species
CAGCCGCCGCGGUAAUACAGAGGGUGCGAGCGUUAAUCGGAUUUACUGGGCGUAAAGCGUGCGUAGGCGGCUUUUUAAGUCGGAUGUGAAAUCCCCGAGCUUAACUUGGGAAUUGCAUUCGAUACUGGGAAGCUAGAGUAUGGGAGAGGAUGACAGAAUUCCAGGUGUAGCGGUGAAGUGCGUAGAGAUCUGGAGGAAUACCGAUGGCGAAGGCAGCCAUCUGGCCUAAUACUGACGCUGAGGUACGAAAGCAUGGGGAGCAAACAGGAUUAGAUACCCGUGUAGUCCCUGUCUCUUAUAC